GACGAACGCUGGCGGCGUGCUUAACACAUGCAAGUCGAACGGAAAGGCCCUGCUUUUGUGGGGUGCUCGAGUGGCGAACGGGUGAGUAACACGUGAGUAACCUGCCCUUGACUUUGGGAUAACUUCAGGAAACUGGGGCUAAUACCGGAUAGGAGCUCCUGCUGCAUGGUGGGGGCUGGAAAGUUUCGGCGGUUGGGGAUGGACUCGCGGCUUAUCAGCUUGUUGGUGGGGUAGUGGCUUACCAAGGCUUUGACGGGUAGCCGGCCUGAGAGGGUGACCGGCCACAUUACUACUGCGAUACGGCCCAGUCUCCUACGGUGGGCAGCGGUGGGGAAUAUUGCCCAAUGGGCGGAAGCCUGUUGCAGCAGCGCCGCGUUCGGGAUGCCGGCCUUCGGGUUGUGAACCGCUUUCGCCUGUGACGAAGCGUGAGUGACGGUAAUGGGUAAAUAAGCACCGGCUAACUACGUG
rnacentral:rRNA from 1 species